GGGCGCUUAGCUCAGUUGGGAGAGCGCCUGCCUUACAAGCAGGUGGUCGGGGGUUCAAGUCCCUCAGCGCCCA
rnacentral:tRNA from 1 species